AUUGAACGCUGGCGGAAUGCUUUACACAUGCAAGUCGAACGGCAGCACGGACUUCGGUCUGGUGGCGAGUGGCGAACGGGUGAGUAAUGUAUCGGAACGUGCCCAGUCGUGGGGGAUAACGUAGUGAAAAUUGCGCUAAUACCGCAUACGAUCUAUGGAUGAAAGCGGGGGAUCGCAAGACCUCGCGCGAUUGGAGCGGCCGAUAUCAGAUUAGGUAGUUGGUGGGGUAAAGGCCCACCAAGCCAACGAUCUGUAGCUGGUCUGAGAGGACGACCAGCAGCACUGGAACUGAGACACGGUCCAGACUCCUACGGGAGGCAGCAGUGGGGAAUUUUGGACAAUGGGCGAAAGCCUGAUCCAGCCAUUCCGCGUGCAGGAUGAAGGCCCUCGGGUUGUAAACUGCUUUUGUACAGAACGAAAAGGUUUCUACUAAUACUAGGAGCUCAUGACGGUACUGUAAGAAUAAGCACCGGCUAACUACGUGCCAGCAGCCGCAGUAA
rnacentral:rRNA from 1 species